UUAAUAAAAUGCUCCGCAGGGCGCAGCUUGAUACGACCGCAGAGAUCGAACCCUGAACAGUUGGGGCAAGUAUGGACACAACAUUCAAGCUUGAUACAGCUCUGAAUUUGGAUUGUGAUUAAAUAUUUGACACAGCAUAGGUUUCUGACACAGAAAGAAUGUGGUCUAAGAACUUGAAUUUUUUUAAUUUACCUAUUAUGGUCCAAUGUCCAAAAUCAAAAUACAUGGUUAGAUUCAGCAUAUCAAAGAACCCCAUAUAUUCAAUUUUUGUUAAAAUCAAACAAAGUUUAAUUUUGGACCCCAACUUGGACAAACUUGAAAACUGGGCCCAUAAUCAAAAAUCUAAACACAUGUUUAGAUUCAGCAUAUCAAAUAACCCCAAUAAUUCAAUUUUUGCUAAAAUCAAACUAAGUUUAAUUUUGGACCCUUUGGACCUUAAUGUAGACCAAUUUAAAAAAACGGGACUUAAAAUUAAAAAUCUAAAUACACGGUUAGAUUUGGAAUAUCAAAGAACCCCAAUAUCAAUUUUUGAUGAAAUCAAACAAAGUUUAAUUUUUGGACCCUUUUGACCUCAAUAUGAACCAAUUUGAUAGCGGGGCCCACAAAUAAAAAAUCUAAA